rnacentral:lncRNA from 1 species
CCACUGACAAUUUUGUAAAUUUGUUUAAGGAUUAAAUGAAUAAGCUGCUCUUCCCUUGGCUCCCAUAGCUGUACAGAUUGAAGCUCCUGUGCCUUCUGAGGAGGAGCCACGUCAUGGCUCCUGUCCCUCUGGAGGCUGCUCUACCACAGGAAGACAAGCGCUGCUCCUAUCUUCACCGACUUCUCUCCCCAAAGAAACAGACAACCUGGUGGGAAAACAGCAUCACCCCAACUUGGAGCAGCUGGGAGGGACCUGGACCACCAUUCUGCCCCAGGCCCCUCUGCCAUUCUGCAGCCACCCGAGAGGGAGAUCUGACCGCUCCCACACGUACAGUUGCCGACGGUGAGCUCCAGCUCGAAGAGCCAGGAAGUCAAGGAGACCAGACCCUGAGCCCAGCGGCUGCCUGCAAACCUGUGGGCUUCCCCACACCCCAUGAGCACGUUUUGCAGGAUGUGAGAGAAGUGUGCAUCCUGCGAGGAGCUUGAACCCUCACAGGAUUGACUCCUUUGACUGGAAGCCAUGAGGACAGCAAGAACUUGUUGAGGAUCAGAAGCCUUCAAAUCUCCAGUGCUGGAAAAUAGAGUGCCCGCUGUCUUGAUCUUUGAAGCAGUCCUAACAACUACCAGGCACAGCAGACAGUGAUCCAGAGAUGAGGAUGGGGAUGAUGACAGCAAUAUGGUGAAGAAGAAGAUAGCUGUCUUUGUCACUUCUGACUGCUAUAACAAAGUGCUACUGACUGGGUGACUUAUUGUGACAGUUAAGCUGGAUUGUCCACUUGAUUGGCUUGUGAGCCACCUAGGAGGUGCUGGUCCUCUGUUCUUCUUCCUGGAGGCUUUGAACCAAGCAACUUUGGCCUACUGCACGCUUCCAGCAUGAUGUUUCUAUCUUGGAGCCUUGAAC